UAACUCAAAUAAAGUCCAAACCCAAAUCAAAUCAAUAGUCCGGUAUGGACAAGUUCACUAAAAAUUAUAGCAUAAAAAGCAUGCUAUAAAGCCAAAUUCACUCAAAAAAAAAACCGAAGGAAGCACAUUAUAACAUAAAAAGCAUGCUGAAACUGAAAAUCAAGGAGUCUAUAAAGUUCAUAUUUCAGCAUAAAUUAUUUGACCCAAAAGUGUAUCAAGAACCACAUUCACUUGCUCCAUCGAUACCACCCAGCCUUUUUUUAUAAUUCCAUCGCUGUUUCAAUAAUCAAAUUAAGAAUGAGUUCAAAGUUAUCAAAAUGAGACACAACAAGCUUAAGCAUUCAGCAUUGAGUUCCUCCUGCACUCGGACAACAUAUCCAUGUAGAAUU
rnacentral:lncRNA from 1 species